ACGCGGGAGCCCGCUGAGGCGGCGGGCGGCGGGAGGACGCUCGCGGGCCGCGGGGCUUCCGGCAGGAGCCGCGAAGGCGGAGGGGGCGGGCGCGUCCUUCCUGCCCUCACCUUUGCCGUUACUGUGCGACGUGAGCAUCUUCUGAGAGGCCCUCACGAGACCUUGCAGGGCACGGAAACGUCAGUCGGCCUUCCGUGGGGGGCAGUUUUUUGCAACAUGAGGACACACCACCCUUGAAGAACUGCUAAGCGGAGAGCACAAGUACAGGCGCGCUCUCUGGUGCUGACGUGAGAGGAGGUGAACUUCGGCUUGAUUUGAUGCGACUCGAUUGUUUUCGCAAAUAACAAAGCACCCCGCCGGUUUUGUGACUACGUGGUGUAUUUUUGGGUGGAGUCAAAGCUCACUAAGAAAGCAGAAACUAGGUCUUGAAAAUACUUUCGGGAGAUGGAAAAAAAAAUGAGUCUUUAAUCCCUCUGAUACGAGUGUGAGAAAGAGGGAAAAAGGUUCACAAGUGAGUAAAAGGUAGCUCCUGGAACGAGAGCCAGCAUUUACUCACUCGGGCAAAUUAUUAAGCGCCUCUCCAUGCCUCAGUUUCCUCAUCUGUAAAAUGGGGAUGAUAGUAGCAUCUACCCCAUGGAGUUGCCAUAAAUAUUGAAUGAGUUGAUAUAUCUAGAACCCGAGACUAGGUAUUAGUGGCUUGUUUCAAACGUCAAGGCGAUCCAUACACAAGCAGAGGAUGGCACUUUGGGAACCUGGGCUGAUUGAGUAGAUAGCACUUACCUUGAUUUUUCCCCACAGUUCAUGGUUUGGCCCUAGGGGAACCUCACCUCAAAAGCUAAAGUUUAUGGAAGGCCUGCUCUGUGGCAACGCCUAUGCAUUAUCUCAUUGUCUUCUUACAACUACUUUCAGAAGUAGGUGCUAUUAUUUUUCCUGUUUUACAGAUAAGGGAAACUGAGGCAUAAAGGAUUGCAUAGCUUGCUCAAAGCUAUGGAGAUAGUGCAAGGUACAGCCAGGAAUUGAACCCUGGUCAUUUGCUGCGAGAGGCCAUGGAGAGAGGAUUCUGUCCUUUGAGGCAGGCCUCCUUUAAAUAAGUACACAGGGCCAGCACUCCAGAAUGUCAAUAUUGUCAGUAUUAAUUCACAAGAAGAAUGGUAAUUCAGUGGUAAAGUUAACCUGAGAUCAACUCUGGCUGACGAGCCACUUUCCUGACCUGUGUAUGUAUGCACUCUCUCUGAAGUCAGAUGUUCAGAGUUGUUUGCUAAUCAUGGAAAUAGAACAAGGAGGUACCUAAUCUCAAAAAGUGGUUCUCAGCUAAAGGGCACCUGGAAGCAUCCUCACCUACGUUAACAAAAAUAAUAGCUGUCAUUUAAUGAGCUCUUACUGUAAGGCUAGUCUGAACAAGUGUGCUCAGAUCAGACUCCCUCUUUUGGACAAGCUUAGGUAUUGCCAGUCCUCUUUUACUGUUUGGGAUGACCAUCCUCUUCCUUUUUUUUUUAUCUGCAUGUCUAUUUUCCAUUAGAAAAAUACUAUCUAUUAAAAUUGUGGUACACUUUAUUCUCCUUUACCUCUACCAUUCAAGUUUCAGGUACUUUAAUUUUAUUCAAGUAAAAGCAGAAUUAUAUAGCUGAGGUGAGGACUAAUUAUUUCAUAUCAUUAAAUUAAUAGGAUUUAACUGAA